rnacentral:rRNA from 1 species
GACGAACGCUGGCGGCGUGGAUUAGGCAUGCAAGUCGAACGGUAGGAUACCUUCGGGUAUCUGAGAGUGGCGAACGGUGAGUAACACGUAGGUGAUCUACCCUCAAGAUUGGGACAACCCAGGGAAACGUUGGGCUAAUACCGGAUGAAAGCAGCAGUGAUGUUGUUUGAAAGGUGGCGUAAGCUGCCGUUUGGGGAUGAGCCUGCGCUCUAUUAGUUAGUUGGCGGGGUAAAGGCCCACCAAGGCGAUGAUAGAUAGGCGGCCUUAACGGGUGGUCGCCCACACUGGGAUUGAGAUACGGCCCAGACUCCUACGGGAGGCAGCAGUCGAGAAUAGUCUACAAUGGCCGAAAGGCUGAUAGUGCGACGCCGCGUGAACGAAGAAGCCCUUCGGGGUGUAAAGUUCUUUUAUAUGUGAGCAGUGCUUUCUAUGUGAACAGCAUGGGGAGAGAGAUAUUAGCAUAUGAAUAAGCAACGGCUAACUCCGUG